rnacentral:tRNA from 1 species
GUCAAGUGGUUAGGGGUAUGAACGUGUCAGCUUCCCAAGCUGAAUGUCGUCGGUUCGAUCCCGAUCGCCC